ACAAAGUUUCUCAGCAAAUCAACUUCCCCAUUUCCCCCGACAGCAGUCCUUCCUGGAGGAAGGCUGUUUUAAUUUGCUAUGUUCCUACAUUAACGCUCGAACCUACAUUAACGCUUUGUCCCAUGUAGAUCCAGUGAGCUGCGUGCACAACAUGAAAUCCUAAACUUUGAGAAGACAACAUCAACUUAAAAAAACAUAUAAUUAGCGCUCUAAUAGUCGUACACAAGUGGGGCGGAUUCCAGCGUCCAGCCUUCCCAUAGAAAAGGAGGCUCAACUUUCACUUAGGCAUUGCACCACAUGUACUUUGGAAGCUAAAUGGAUGAGAAGACAUCAUUUGAAAAUCAGAGGAAAUACUCUGCAGAUGCUGGGAAUCUGAAAUGAAAGAAUGGUGGAAUUGCUUAAAAAUCAGCAACUGCAGAGAAAGAAAGAAAGUUAACGAUUGAGGAUAAUAGAAACUAGAUGCUGGAAUAUUGUUACACAAAUAAUGUGGGCAACUGUCUGAAGACUGAUGUCAUUGGCACAUUUCUGUCAGCUGAAUGUCAUGGAGUCAACACCAGCAUGGACAGGAACAGCAAACAACAGUGUCUCAUUAUUUAACCCAGCUGGUUUUAGUUUAUCGAAGGCUCCUGCAUACACAACUUAAUUAGUUAUCAAUCAUUACGUGGCAAUUUGUUGUACCUAUGUAAUGUCUGCAUAAUUGUGGAAAACAUACAUUUGUCAUAAUUAUAACAAAGGUGUAGUUGACAGCAAAACAAAUAUCAUUUUAAGUGACAACAGAUUAAAAUUGUGAGCAAAGGAUGCCUUGUUGCCAUUUAGUAUCGUGAUGGCAGAAUUAUUCUGAUGAAACAAUUACCCCCCGUGAAUUCAUGUUACAUAUUACAAUCCUGACAUUUUAGUGACAUUCACACACCUUUACUUUUGAAUCCUGUUGCUUUUAUUCGUUCCACUUCAUUAAAAAAAUAUUGUGUAAAUUCAUUUAGUUUCCAUUCUCACAAAUGUUCUGUUACAUCAUAUUUUGCUGAAGGUUGUGCAGCACUAAAAACAUGUUUUGUACAUUUUUCAGGCAUUAAAUCUUCUAAAAUUCUUAA